rnacentral:rRNA from 1 species
CCGCGGGAAUACGUAGGGGGCUAGCGUUAUCCGGAUUUACUGGGCGUAAAGGGUGCGUAGGCGGUCUUGCAAGUCAGGAGUGAAAGGCUACGGCUCAACCGUAGUAAGCUCUUGAAACUGGGGGACUUGAGUGCAGGAGAGGAGAGUGGAAUUCCUAGGGUAGCGGUGAAAUGCGUAGAUAUUAGGAGGAACACCAGUUGCGAAGGCGGCUCUCUGGACUGUAACUGACGCUGAGGCACGAAAGCGGGGGGAGCAAACAGGAUUAGAUACCCUGGUAGUCCACGCUGUAAACGAUG